AUGGCUGGUGUGAGGGGCUGGAAUGGCGAGGUUUGGAGGUGGAGAGAUUUUGGUAUCCCUCCGGCAAUGGCGCAACAACCUGUUAUUUGGGAGGAGAUCCAGAAGCUUCGACUUCUGUUGGGUGGGUUCAACUGCAACCAGGUAGUCUGCGAUCGUGUGUCUUGGUUGAUUGAAGAUAAUAUCGUUUUCUCAGUUCGUUCUUGCUAUUCUUUUAUCGCAGGUUCUCAUAUUUCUUAUGGUCCUAAUAAGUACGAUAAAGCUAUGUCUCUUGUGUGGGUUUUAGAUGUUCCUUUUAAGAUCAAGGCUUUUGGAUGA